rnacentral:rRNA from 1 species
UGGGGAAUAUUGCACAAUGGGGGAAACCCUGAUGCAGCGACGCCGCGUGAACGAAGAAGGUAUUCGUAUCGUAAAGUUCUGUCCUAUGGGAAGAUAAUGACAGUACCAUAGAAGAAAGCUCCGGCUAAAUACGUGCCAGCAGCCGCGGUAAUACGUAUGGAGCGAGCGUUGUCCGGAAUUAUUGGGCGUAAAGGGUACGCAGGCGGUUUAAUAAGUCGAAUGUUAAAGAUCGGGGCUCAACCCCGCAAAGCAUUGGAAACUGAUAAACUUGAGUAGUGGCGAGGAAAGUGGAAUUCCUGGUGUAGUGGUGAAAUACGUAGAUAUUAGGAGGAAUACCAGUAGCGAAGGCGACUUUCUGGACACAAACUGACGCUGAGGUACGAAAGCGUGGGGAGCAAACAGG